GUAGCCUAGUGGUUAGAGCAGGUAGCCUAGUGGUUAGAGCAGGUAGCCUAGUGGUUAGAGCCUAGUGGUUAGAGCAGGUAACCUAGUGGUUAGAGCAGGUAGCCUAGUGGUUAGAGUGUUGGGCCAGUAACUGAAAGGUUGCUCGUUCAAAUCCUUGAGGCAACUAGGUGACAAACCUGCUGAUGUGCUCUAAAGCAAGGCACUUAACCCUAAUUGUGCCUGUAACCUGCUCUGGAUUAGCGUGUCUGCUAAAUCAGUGUUUCCCACCAGUGCACAUUUCUAUUUGUAAUCCUUGACAAGCACACCUGAUUCAACUUGUCAACUAUUACUAGCCUGUUCAACCUCUCUUUCCGUAUCGUCUGAGAUCCCCAAAGAUUGGAAAGCUGCCGCGGUCAUCCCCCUCUUCAAAGGGGGAGACGCUAGACCCAAACUCUUAUAGACGUAUAUCCAUCCUGCCCUGCCUUUCUAAAAGUUAACAAACCAGAUCACCGACCAUUUCGAAUCCCACCGCACCGUCUCCGCUAUGCACUCUGGUUUCCGAGCUGGUCACGGGUGCACCUCAGCCACACUCAAGGUCCUAAACGAUAUCAUAACCGCCAUCGAUAAAAGACAGUACUGUGCAGCCGUCUUCAUCGACCUAGCCAAUGCUUUCGACUCUGUCAAUCAUCGCAUUCUUAUAAGCAGACUCAACAGCCUUGGUUUCUCAAAUGAUUGCCUCGCCUGGUUCACCAACUACUUCUCAGAUAGAGUUCAGAGUGUCAAAUCGGAGGGCCUGUUGUCUGGACCUCUGGCAGUCUCUAUGGGGGUACCACAGGGUUCAAUUCUUGGGGCGACUCUUUUCUCUGUAUAUAUCAGGGCCAGAUGUAUACAUAAUGGUGUCGUCCGCGUAGAGGUGGUUCUUUGAUCCACCCCUACGCAGACGACACCAUUCUGUAUACAUCUGGCCCUUCUUUGGACACUGUGCUAACAAACCUCCAAACGAGCUUCAAUGCCAUACAACACUCCUCUCCUUCCGUGGCCUCCAACUGCUUUUAAAUGCUCGUAAAACUAAGGGCAUGCUCUUCAACCGAUUGCUGCCCGCACCCGCCCGCCCGACUAGCAUCACUACUCUGAACGGUUCUGAUUUAGAAGAUGUGGACAACUACAAAUACCAAGGUGUCUGGUUAGACUGUAAACUCUCCUUCCAGACUCACAUUAAGCGUCUCCAAUCCAAAAUUAAAUCUAGAAUCGGUUUCCUAUUUCGUAACAAAGCAUCCUUCACUCAUGCUGCCAAACAUACCCUCGUAAAACUGACUAUCCUACCGAUCCUUGACCUCGGCGAUGUCAUUCACAAAAUAGCCUCCAACACUCUACUCAGCAAACUGGAUGCAGUCUAUCACAGUGCCAUCUGUUUUGUCACCAAAGCCCCAUAUACUACCCACCACUGCGACCUGUAUGCUCUUGUUGGCUGGCCCUCGCUUCAUAUUCGUCACCAAACCCACUGGCUCCAGGUCAUCUAGAAGUCUUUGCUAGGUAAAGCCCAGCCUUAUCUCAGCUCACUGGUCACCUUAGCAACACCCACCCGUAGCACGCGCUCCAGCAGGUAUAUCUCACUGGUCACCCCCAAAGCCAAUUCCUCCUUUGGUCGCCUUUCCUUCCAGUUCUCUGCUGCCAAUGACUGGAACGAAUUACAAAAAUCUCUGUAGCUGGAGUCUUAUAUUUCCCUCACUAACUUUAAGCAUCAGCUGUCAGAGCAGCUUACCGAUCACUGUACCUGUACAUAGCCCAUCUGUAAAUAGCACACCCAACUACCUCAUCCCCAUAUUAUUACUUAUCCUCGUUGUAACGGGUGUCGUACAGAGUAGACCAAGGCACAGCGGGUUGAGUGCUGAUAUUUAACUUUUAUUUGAGACACGUAACAAAAACAAGAAAACGAACGAACGACAAACAGUCUUGCAGGCUACACACAGCAGUGCAACAACAACUUCUCACAAAGGGACAGGUGAAACAGGGCUACCUAAGUAUGACUCUCAAUCAGCAACAACGAUAUACAGCUGUUCCUGAUUGAGAGCCAUACCAGGCCAACACAAAGAAAUACACAACAUAGAAAUACAAAAUGAACAUUUGACAUUUAGCAGACACUCUUAUCCAGGGCAACUUACAGUAGUGAAUGCAUACAUUUGAUACAUUUUUUUAUUGUUAUUUUUUUUUUUGUACUGGCCCCCUGUGGGAAUCGAACCCACAACCCUGGUGUUGCACACACCAUGCUCUACCAACUGAGCCACAGGGAAGACACACCCCUGCCAGGUCCUGACCAAACUACAAUGACAAAUAACCCCUUAUACUGGUCAGGACGUGACACUCUUGCUCUUUUGCACCCCAGUAUCUCCACUUGCACAUCAUCAUCUGCACAUCUAUCACUCCAGUGUUAAUGCUAAAUUGUAAUUAUUUCACCUCUAUGGCCUAUUUAUUGCCUUACCUCCUUACUCUUCUACAUUUGCAC
rnacentral:lncRNA from 1 species